GGGCCUGUAGCUCAGUUGGUAGAGCACCGCGUUUACACCGCGGUUGUCGUCGGUUCGAGACCGGCCGGGCCCA
rnacentral:tRNA from 3 species